rnacentral:lncRNA from 1 species
UACGAGGUUGUAAGCUCCCCUUAGAUCAAUUUUUGUAAAGAUCCUUGCACGUCCAAGUUGUUCUAAGAGACCAAAAAUCAAGGGUAACGGUGUCGUAUUACGUGCUUUCCUGCUCGAGAACGCGCCGGGCGUCUGGCUGUAGAAGGUAGUAUGGAGAUUCGCCGAUAGUCAAGCAGUCUAUCAGUUUUUGACUGCUGGAAUAUAAACGACUGCAACAAUGUACCGUAAAUCUAUACGGGUGCUCUUCGACUGCUU